CUGGUCUACAGUGAAGUCCUCCAACAAACUGAAAAUUAGGAAGGUAAGGUCUCGGAAAUUCAAAGUCCCAGUAUGUUCUUAUCAGCCAGAUUUCAGCCUUCCCCAUCAUUUCACAGAGGCUGGUGGGUCUCCCUUAAACUUCAGUAAAGUAUGGAUCCCAGUUUAAAAUUCCAAAUUCAUAAAAUAAAAAGUCUUGGCAUAAAUAAAGCAAAAAGUUGUUCAUUCUUCCCACAAAGUUCAUUUUAUCCGUGUACAGGGUAGGUAUCCCAGGGACAUAAGAAGGAGGAGCAGGCAUCUGUCCACAGAGUCUUUCUAUUGUACUGCCAAAUGAGAACCUCAAAGUGUAGAUGAAGGGAAGGUCGAGGUGUUCUGCAAUCAUUUCACUGCCAAAGAACAGCGGAUCAGCAAGCAUCACAUCAAAGCGCUGCUGCUUAAGUUUUCCAAGUAGUUCUUUAUUCCUGAGCACACCAUCACAUAUCUGCUUUGUGACAUUGGCAAACCGAUUAAACA